rnacentral:rRNA from 1 species
ACGUAGGGUGCAAGCGUUAUUCGGAUUUAUUGGGCGUAAAGCGCAUGUCGGCGGUUUGGUAAGUCUAAUGUGAAAGCCCCGGACUCAAUUCGGGAAGUGCAUCGGAUACUGCCAGGCUAGAGUAUAGGAGGGGUGAGCGGAAUUCCUGGUGUAGAGGUGAAAUUCGUAGAUAUCAGGAGGAACAACAGAAGCGAAGGCGGCUCACUGGACUAUAACUGACGCUCAGAUGCGAAAGUGUGGGGAGCAAACAG